rnacentral:rRNA from 1 species
AACGAACGCUGGCGGCAGGCCUAACACAUGCAAGUCGAGCGAAGCCUUCGGGCUUAGCGGCGGACGGGUGAGUAACGCGUGGGAACGUGCCCUUUGCUACGGAAUAGCCCCGGGAAACUGGGAGUAAUACCGUAUGUGCCCUUCGGGGGAAAGAUUUAUCGGCGAAGGAUCGGCCCGCGUUGGAUUAGGUAGUUGGUGGGGUAAUGGCCUACCAAGCCGACGAUCCAUAGCUGGUUUGAGAGGAUGAUCAGCCACACUGGGACUGAGACACGGCCCAGACUCCUACGGGAGGCAGCAGCGGGGAAUCUUAGACAAUGGGCGCAAGCCUGAUCUAGCCAUGCCGCGUGAUCGAUGAAGGCCUUAGGGUUGUAAAGAUCUUUCAGGUGGGAAGAUAAUGACUGUACCACCAGAAGAAGCCCCGGCUAACUCCGUGCCAGCAGCCGCAGUAACAC